rnacentral:rRNA from 1 species
UACGUAGGGAGCAAGCGUUGUCCGGAAUCAUUGGGCGUAAAGCGCGCGUAGGCGGCCUAAUAAGUCCGUUGUGAAAGUCAAAGGCUCAACCUUUGAAAGCCGAUGGAUACUGUGAGGCUAGAGUCCGGAAGAGGCGAGUGGAAUUCCUGGUGUAGCGGUGGAAUGCGCAGAUAUCAGGAGGAACACCAAUAGCGAAGGCAGCUCGCUGGGACGGUACUGACGCUAAGGCGCGAAAGCGUGGGGAGCGAACAGG